rnacentral:rRNA from 1 species
UACGUAGGCAGCAAGCGUUGUUCGGAGUUACUGGGCGUAAAGGGUGUGUAGGCGGCUCUUUAAGUUUGGUGUGAAAUCUCCCGGCUCAACCGGGAGGGUGCGCCGAAUACUGAGGGACUCGAGUGCGGGAGAGGAAAGUGGAAUUCCUGGUGUAGCGGUGAAAUGCGUAGAUAUCAGGAGGAACACCGGUGGUGUAGACGGCUUUCUGGACCGUAACUGACGCUGAGACACGAAAGCGUGGGGAGCAAAACGG